UGGCUGGGCCGCCGCCGCCGCGGCGUUCCCGAGGGAGCCAACCGCCUUCAGGCGGCGGUCAAACUGGCCCUCUUUCCGCGCUUCCCGACCCAAAUCGGAGCGCUGCUCGGCGGCUCAGUGGUUCUGUGAGCCGUGCCCCUGUGCCCGUCCCCGCUGCGCCAAGCCGAGAGGAUGCUCCUGACCAGAGCCAGUGCCAGCAAUGAUGGGCUUUUUUUUGUUGUUUUUUUUGUUGUUUUUUCUUUUUUUUUUCUCAAGAACAGCUUCGGGGCAAAUCCCCUGUCCCUGCGGGUUUCCGUCCCCCCACGCCUGCUCUGGCGCAGGCUCUCUUAUUUUUCAGACGUUGCAAAACAGGAUUGUUUCCCCUUUUUAAAAGCCAGGUUCCCUUUUCUUCAAAUAAGGAAAAUUUCCAGCGCGAAAAUCAGGAAGCGGAGCUGAGCACAUGGCGUUAUUGCAGCGGUGUGAGCGCAGCAAGGCUCCGUUUUCUCUAUCAUUUUGUUCAGACUCUGAUGAUCUUGUAGGAUCUGCUUGACCUUAAAUGAAGGCCUUUCCUUUUUUUUUUUUUUUUUUUUUUUUUGCUGAUGUAUUUAUCCAUUCCCUUGUGAAAAAAAAAAAAGCUGCACUAACACAAUCUGACUUCCUUGUCAAAUUAAUAAAACUGUCUCAUUCUGAAGAGGUUUAUUCCCCUCCCACAAAACAGACGUGGCCUCGGCGUGUUUGCGUCCUGACGCUGGGCGGCCGGGGCUCUGCCCGGUGUCGGUGGCAGGCGCGAGCCCCGUGAGGAUGCCCAUCCGGCGGGAUUUCGGGACCCUGAAGGCACUGGCCUGUUGACCCAACGCUCAGCAGCGGUGAAAGCAUCCCCAAAACGUGAACCCAUAACAGCAGAGCUAACAGCCACGUGUGCAGUGAAACAAGCUAAAAGCCAGCCCAGGUGUGACCAGAGCUGAACUCCCCCCAAAACGCACCCCUUGGAGGGUGCUGCUCAGGGGAAAACGCAGGGAUGGGCACAAAACAGGUGAACCCGAGGCCGAUGCUGUGCAGAAGCGGGGCCGGCCGCGGCGAGCUGAAUCACCCUCCGCUUCCCGGGGACGGGGAGGAUAACAGCUCGCGACGCUGUGGGGCAACUGAAAGGCACGCGGCUGCUGUCAGCGUCCGCGAGGCGCCUUAUUUUGCAAUGGCACUGAAAGCAAGAGCCCUUGUGGGUCUGAUACACUUGUUAUUUCUAGUCCCUCUCCAACAGAUCGCCAUGGGUUUGGAGCAUGCACAGUCCGGGUGGGGUGAGAGAGGCCAGGAGAGAAGGGGGAGAGAAGAUGAGGCCAGGAAAUGGGUCAAUCCUUUGGCAGAGCUGACGACAGCAGACCUUCAGAAAUCACGGCCUGGGCCCGGCAGCAGCAUGCCGCUGCAGAGCAGAGGGAAGGGGAGAAGGGGAGUGAAGCAGCAGCAGCAGAGAAACGCAGCAGAGAGCCAAGCCAAAGUGAUGUACCGGAAAGCAGCCCUGGAGGUCGACAUGCUGAACGAGCACAUGGUUCCCUGGAGGGGCAUGGCCUGGCAGGCAAGCACUGACCACGAAGGGCUCAAGCGGAGGCUGCGGGACCUGGAGAAGGCGCUGGAGCAGGCGCGGGAAGACAAGCGAGACAUGCACGAAGGUGAGAGCAGAGCUGGGAGGGGCAGUGGGGCUGGCAUGGGGACCCCACACCUCGGUGCCCUGGCUGCUGGAGGCAGCUCCCCUCACCUUUCCUCUGGCCCUGACUGCCCAGCCCCAAAAGGCAUCCUUGCUCGCCACCUCCCUGCCACACAUGCACACUGUCAGCACACAAAGGCACUGCCUGAGGGCUUGUCGCAUCCCAGAUGUCCAUCCUCAGCACAGGCAGAGGAGACAGAGGCAGAGACUUCCCUGCUUGCAGAAGUCAUUGGCUAGCCAUUUCCUCUGGGGCUCAAGAAGGGGCUUAUUUUAGCAGAGGUAAAACCUCAGCCAGAGGUUUGCGGUCUUUGCCACAUGCAAAACUCCGUGCUGGCUUUCACUCUCCCACGCUCGCUCGGCGCAGAGGUAAAGCUUUCUCUCUGGGGCUCCC
rnacentral:lncRNA from 1 species